GUUCUGUAGUGAUAUUGUUAUAUAAGCCAUCAAAACAUGUAGAGAAUUUCUUUUAUUUUUAAAAUAUGUUUUUGAUUAGAUAUUUGUACUAAUGAUAAUGUUUUAUUGAUUUUAUAUCAACGAGUAAACAAAUUUUGAAGGAAACUAGUGAGCGGCGUUCAAUCCAAAUGACUUCCUGAGUAUCCACCCUACGCCUUGCGAAAAGCUAUCAAAUUGACUCAGCCGGAUAUGUUUUAACGUUGUCCUACAUGAUUCAUAGUCCUUGCAAUAAGACGUAAUGUGUACACAAGAGGAAGCAUUAGGGUGAUCGGAUUCAAUGCGUAUGGCGGAAGAUGAGUUCAUAAAAGGAUAAAGUUGAAUAUAUUUAGUAUUUAAACGUAUUAGUCGACAAUCAUAAUGAUUUUUAAAGUAUUGGUGGUCAAUAAGUAUACCUACAUCGUACAACCCAGAAAAUCUUCAUAACACCACUCAGAAGUCUAAAGUGAUAAACACAAUUUUGGUUUUGCAUCCGACUACUUGGAUAAAAAAUUCUAAAAUUGAAAUUAAACAAUUAAAAAUUAA